CAGUGACUCCUUAAAAAAAACCUGUACAUGUAGAAAGGGCCUUAAUGAGCUCAGCAGGGCACACCGGACUGCAGGGGCUCUUGGUGAAUCGUGUCUCACCCGGGAGGGGAGAUGAUCAAAUCGGGCAAGUCACGGUUCUGGGUGCACAGCUGUGUCAGGGACCCCCUCCUUUUUAUCUGCCAUCGUGGGUCAGAACGGAACCGCCCCGGCCUCUGCAUCUGCCUCUGUAAAGAAUACACCAAUCGAUAAAGCAUCAUCUGCUUUCAUAUAAUGUGAUGAUGGUUGAUUCCAAAGACUUAUGUGAAGAGAAAAUGUUGUGGGCCCCCAGAUCACGAAGUUGGAGGAAAAAGCGCACCUGGGAGCUCUUAGGGCAGACGCGCCUCCCGUUGCACUCAAAGGCAGCCCUCUGCUCACUGACAUAGACGCAUAUCUGAUUGCCUCCUUCGGAAAAGAGAAGCAGAAACUCAAAGAAUGCAGCCAUUUGUCUCUCACCUACCUGUGACCAGAAGCCCCCCGCCGACCUUGGAGCUGCCUUCCCUUCGCAUCACGUCCUCCUGCCUCUCCAGGCCGAACCAGCGUUCAUCUUACACGUUUUGAUUGAUGUCUCCUGUCUCCCUAAAAUGUGUAAAGCCUAGCAGUGCCCCAAAGACCUUGGACAGUGUCGUCAGAGGCCGUGUCAUGGGCGUGCCCUUGAUCUUGUCAAAAUAAACUUUCUAAAUGGACUGAGACCUGUCUCAGGUGUUUGGGGUUCACACCUGUCACUGGGGUGAUGUCCGUGACCCGUGAGAGAUGCAGCCUCUGUCUCCCCUUCUUUCUUGGAGCAGCCCCUGGCCCCGUCCAUGCGGCCCUGGCGGAGGCCU
rnacentral:lncRNA from 1 species